rnacentral:rRNA from 1 species
AUUGAACGCUGGCGGUAUGCUUAACACAUGCAAGUCGAACGGUAACAGGCCUUCGGGCGCUGACGAGUGGCGGACGGGUGAGUAACGCGUAGGAAUCUGCCUCAUAGUGGGGGACAACGUGGGGAAACUCACGCUAAUACCGCAUACGCCCUCCGGGGGAAAGCGGGGGAUCUUCGGACCUCGCGCUAUGAGAUGAGCAUGCGUUCGAUUAGCUAGUUGGUAGGGUAAAGGCCUACCAAGGCGACGAUCUAUAGCUGGUCUGAGAGGACGAUCAGCCACACUGGGACGGAGACACGGCCCAGACGCCUACGGGAGGCAGCAGUGGGGAAUAUUGGAAAAUGGGCGCAAGCCUGAUCAAGCAAUACCGCGUGUGUGAAGAAGGCCCUAGGGUUGUAAAGCACUUUCAAUAGGGAGGAAAACCUGUCGGUCAAUACCCGGCAGCUUGACAUUACCUAUACAAGAAGCACCGGCUAACUCCGUGCCAGCCGCCGCCGUAACAC